rnacentral:ncRNA from 1 species
AAAGGUCUUGGUCUUGAACCUCACAUUAUCUAAAACCAUCUGUUUAUACAUGCAAGUCUCCCCACAACGGUGAAACAACUAUGAAACCUAUAGCCGGUAUCAGCCACCCCGCCAUGACACCAAGCCCCAGCCACACCCCCACGGGUAACACAGCAGUAAUUAAUAUUAGGCCAUAAGUGAAAACUUGACCAAGCUAGAUGGACAUACUAGGGCCGGUUAAUCUCGUGCCAGCGACCGCGGUUAUACGAAAGACCCAAGAUAAUAUUCACGGCGUAAAAAUGACUAAAAUAUUAGUUCAAGCCUUAGGAAAGAAGCUUCGGACUGGGCCGUAAAAAGCCAUAAGCCCCCCUAAUCCCCCCCCCUAAUGCCCCCACAACUUCGACUCAUGAAAGCUAAGAUACAAACUAGGAUUAGAUACCCUACUAUGCCUAGCCGUAACACGCAAUUAAACUACCAAUUGCCCGCCAAACAACUACGAGUUACACUUAAAACUUAAAAGACUUGACGGUACUUCACUACACCCUAGAGGAGCCUGUCCAAUAACCGACAACCCACGAUUAACCCAACCCUCCCUUGCCUACAGUCUAUAUACCGCCGUCGCAAGCCUACCUCAUAAGAGGAAUAAAGUAGGCCAAGCAGUGCUCACACUAAAACGACAGGUCGAGGUGUAACUCAUGAGAGGGACCAAGAUGGGCUACACUCUCACAUCGAGAACACGGAAAAAACCCCGAAAUUAGUCUUUAAAGGUGGAUUUAGCAGUAAGAUAGGAAUAAAACACCUAACUGAACAUAACGCAAUGAAGUGCGUACACACCGCCCGUCAUCCCUGCCACCACAACACAAACCUUAAUUUAACAACCUAAAUACAUCAAACAGGGCAAGUCGUAACAUGGUAAGUGUACUGGAAAGUGCACUUAGAAA